rnacentral:tRNA from 1 species
CAGAGAAUAGUUUAAUGUAAAAUGCCAGCUUUGGGAGUUGGAGAUGAAGGUUCAAGUCCUUUUUUUCUGA